CAGCAGCCGCGGUAAUACGUAGGUGGCAAGCGUUGUCCGGAAUUAUUGGGCGUAAAGGGCUCGCAGGCGGUUUCUUAAGUCUGAUGUGAAAGCCCCCGGCUCAACCGGGGAGGGUCAUUGGAAACUGGGAAACUUGAGUGCAGAAGAGGAGAGUGGAAUUCCACGUGUAGCGGUGAAAUGCGUAGAGAUGUGGAGGAACACCAGUGGCGAAGGCGACUCUCUGGUCUGUAACUGACGCUGAGGAGCGAAAGCGUGGGGAGCAAACAGGAUUAGAGACCCGCGUAGUCCCUGUCUCUUAUAC
rnacentral:rRNA from 1 species